UAAGAUUUUCAUCGGGUUUAAGGUUGGUGAACGCGGUUACACGUGGAUUACGGCGGUUACACGUGGAUUGCGGUCCGUCGGGAAUCCCUCAGAAAAUACCGACGGAUUACCGAGGGAUUUGGGGUUUAGGGUAUCAAAUUUAGAAACUUUAUAACUUAGCGCAUUGUAAAACAUAUUUUAAUAAGUUUUAAACUCUAGUAAUUGGUUUACACCCAUUGUAUGACUAUAAUUUAAGUUUUUGUUAAUGUUCAAAGAAUUUCAAUAAAAGUGUUUCUAUAUAUACUUAUAAUGUUACUAAUUAAGUGUUUGAUGUUGUGAGUCUUCUAAACUUUUUUUUUAUUUAUGAGAAUUUGUUUAAAGAAACAUGUAUAAAAGCUGAGAACUUACACUAAUGUUAGUGGUAAGUGAGUGACAAAUAGAUUUUUGAAACUAUUUAUGAACUUUUUUUAGGUUUUGUGUUAAAAUCCCGUAAUCCCUUGGUAAUUCGUCGGGAAUUUUGAUCAGAAAUUCGAUUUCCGUCGGAAAUCCGUCGGUUAUAACCACGAAAUUUAACCCGGGAACAUUUCCCAAAAUAUUUGGAAAUCGCGGUUUAUUUAAUUUCGUUAAUAAACCGAGGGCAACCCGAUGAGUGUGUCUGUCGGGAAUCCGACUAUAAAUACAAAAACCGUCUGUUUUGCCGACCCAUUUUCUCCACUUUCUCUCACUUUCCAACCCAGAAUUUUUUCCCCUGUAUAUCUCAACUUCUCUCUUCGAAUCUUCCUAAUUUCAUCUCCUUAACCACUCAACGAUGAACUACGGAGAAUUUCAACGUCGUACUAACCGUUCCACUCAAAACCGAGUAGAACAAAAUAAUUCUCGGGCUUCGUCGCAAACCCCCUCAACACAUGUCUCGGAGUCUCCCACAUCUGCUGCGCCUCCUAUAAUGUCCAUUGAGGAUUUUGUCUCUCAACCCGGACGAGAACGACUCCGCCGUCUCCAUCCUCUCUACAUCGACAAUUCUACAUGGUUCGAGGAAUCGGGAAACGGUAUUAGCAAAUCUAUGUUAAGGAUGAUGUAUGGACUCCUCAAAGAACCAUAUCCAAGAUAUAUGUCGAUGCCGUGAGAGGACCCAGACUUGUGGUUCAAACAGUUUGCGCAAGACUUCAAUUGGGAACGAGAUUUGACAACGGAGGUCCGUCGAAUGUUUGACGUGGAGAUGGCAAGGGAGUUUUCCCACACGGUAAACCAAUGGAAGCAAAAGUGGGUCCUCGGAGAGACUCCGAAGAGUAUAAACGAGAAGGUGUAUGAAGGGUUGAAAGAUCAUUGGAUACAACCCGCGACAAAAAAGACUUCAUCUACCAAUUCCAACAAUCGGAAUAGUAGACGAGGUGGAAAAGGGAUCUCAACGCACAAUGCCGGGUCAACAAGCUUCUUUACUCGUGGAAAACAACUUACUACUAGAGAUGGUGUGGCUCCGGAUCACUUAACGCUUAUAGAGGACACCCACACCAACAAAAAGACCAAAGAAAUUCAAGACUAAGUAGCUAAGCAAGUAAUCGAAGUUUGUCGGAAAAGGAAAGAUGAGUAUAUCUUAUCUCAACCUCCUCUCGAUGAUGAUGGGCAACCCCCAAAAGUCCCUUUGGAAUUGAUGAACCAAAUUGUUCUUGAGGAAACUCCAAAGACCAAGGGACGUAUCUUUGGGUUAGGAAAACUUGGAAAAAGAACUCGUUCACAUCCAACAUCAUCCUAUAUGUAUAAUCGCGAUCCCGAACUCGAGCGAGCCCUUCAAGAGAAAGACGACCGUAUCGAAGCUCUCGAGAAGUUGAUGGAAGAAAAGGAACAAGCGGACAAGAAGAGAGACGAGGAGAUUGCGAAGAAAGAUGCGGAGAUGGCGAAGUUCAUGCAAGACGUGUUGUCGAGGUUACCACCAAAUUCAAGUUCUUAAAUCUAUCCCUUUAUUAUUUAUGUAAUUUUUAAGUUUUAAGAACAUGUCUUUCAUUUGUUUUUAUGAAUAUUUGGUUUUAAUGUAUUUUGGAUUUUCAAGUUUAGGAAUAUUUUGUUUUAUUGUGUUUUUGAUUUUCAAGUUUAGGAAAUCAAAAAGUAUUUAUUAACAUUUAUAAUUAUGUUUAAUUAAACAAAAAAAAA